rnacentral:rRNA from 1 species
UACGUAGGUGGCAAGCGUUGUCCGGAUUUAUUGGGUUUAAAGGGUGCGUAGGCGGUUGUAUAAGUCAGUGCUGAAAUAUCCCGGCUUAACCGGGAGGGUGGCAUUGAUACUGUAUGACUUGAGUAAAGUUGAGGUUGGCGGAAUUGACGGUGUAGCGGUGAAAUGCGCAGAUAUCAGGAGGAACACCGGUGGCGAAGGCGGAUCUCUGGGCCGUAACUGACGCUGAGGAGCGAAAGCAUGGGGAGCGAACAGG